UUUUUUAUAAAAGUAAUUUAUUUAUUUAAUGUUUUAGUAUUUAGUAAAAAUAAAUUUAUAGAUUUAUAGUUUAAUAGUAUUGUAAAAGAAUUAAUUAAAUUUAAAAAAGAAUAUUUUUAGUACCUUUUGUAUCAGGGUUGAUUAAAAUUUUUAAUUUUUUUUUAAUUUCCCAAAAUUUAUAGAGGCAAUUUUAUUAUAAAUUAAUUGGGUUAAAAAUAUUUAUAAAAUAACAUCAGUUUUGAAAUUUAAUUCGUUAUAUUAUAUUUAGUUAUUUAAGAUUUAAAUUUAAUUUAAAAUUUUAAAAGUUAUAUUGAUUUUUUAUAUUAAUAUUUUAGAUUUAAAUUAUUUUAGGGAUAAGCUUGAAAUUUUUAUAUAAUAAUUUAUUUAUUUUAAUAAUAUAUAGGAAUAGAAAUUUUUAUUUAAGUUUGUAAAAAUUUAUUAUUUAUUUAAUUUUAAUUUAUUAUAAGUUUAUUUAUUUUUUAUAUUAAAUUUUAUUAAUUAAUAAUUAAUUAAUAGUAAUAAUGAUUAAAUUAGUAUAAUUUUUAUUUAUAAAUUAUGAAUUCGGCAAAAAUUAUUUUCAUCUGUUUAACAAAAACAUUGUAUUAAGUUUAAUUUAAUAUAGGAUCUGCUCAAUGAUUUAUUAAAUAGCUGCAGUAUUUUGACUGUGCAAAGGUAGCAUAAUAAUUAGUCUUUUAAUUGAGGACUUGUAUGAAAGAUUUGAUGAGAAAUAAACUUUAUUAUUUAUAUAUUUAAAAUUUUAUUUUUAAGUAAAAAAGCUUAAAUUAUUUAAAGGGACGAUAAGACCCUAUAAAACUUUAUAAAUGUUAAUUUUAAUUUUUUUGGAUUUAUAAAUAUUUUAAUUUUAUUAUUUAUUUUAUUGGGGUGAUAAAAAAAAUUAUUUAACUUUUUUUAAAAUUUUACAUUAUUUAAUGAAUUUUUGAAUUAAAAUUUUUAAUUAAAGGAAAAAGUUACUUUAGGGAUAACAGCGUAAUUAAUUUUUUAAGUUCAAAUUUAAAAAUUAGUUUGCGACCUCGAUGUUGAAUUAAGAUUAAUCUUAGGUGCAAAAUUUUAAUUAUUAGGUCUG
rnacentral:rRNA from 1 species